ACCUUCGGGCCUCUUGCCAUCGGAUGUGCCCAGAUGGGAUUAGCUAGUAGGUGGGGUAACGGCUCACCUAGGCGACGAUCCCUAGCUGGUCUGAGAGGAUGACCAGCCACACUGGAACUGAGACACGGUCCAGACUCCUACGGGAGGCAGCAUG
rnacentral:rRNA from 1 species